rnacentral:rRNA from 1 species
CCUACGGGUGGCUGCAGUGAGGAAUAUUGGUCAAUGGGAGAGAUCCUGAACCAGCCAAGCCGCGUGAGGGAAGACGGCCCUGUGGGUUGUAAACCUCUUUUGUCGGAGAACAAAACCCGGGACGUGUCCCGGACUGCGUGUACCCGAAGAAAAAGCAUCGGCUAACUCCGUGCCAGCAGCCGCGGUAAUACGUAGGGGGCAAGCGUUAUCCGGAUUUACUGGGUGUAAAGGGAGCGUAGACGGCCGGGCAAGGCUGGAGUGAAAGGCAGGGGCCCAACCCCUGGACUGCUCUGGAAACUGUCCGGCUGGAGUGCAGGAGAGGUAAGUGGAAUUCCUAGUGUAGCGGUGAAAUGCGUAGAUAUUAGGAAGAACCCCAGUGGCGAAGGCGGCUUGCUGGACUGUAACUGACGUUGAGGCUCGAAAGCGUGGGGAGCGAACAGGAUUAGAUACCCCUGUAGUC